rnacentral:rRNA from 1 species
UUGGAGGGCAAGUCUGGUGCCAGCAGCCGCGGUAAUUCCAGCUCCAAUAGCGUAUAUUAAAGUUGUUGCAGUUAAAAAGCUCGUAGUUGAACUUCGGGGUUCACCCAUUGGUCAGGCUUAAUUGUCUGUACUGGUGAGAUGAAUCUCUACCUUCUGAGGAACUUUCAUGCCAUUUAUUUGGUGUGAUGGGAAAUCAGGACUGUUACUUUGAAAAAAUUAGAGUGUUUAAAGCAGGCUAACGUCUGAAUACAUUAGCAUGGAAUAAUGAAAUAGGACGGAUUGAUUCUAUUUCGUUGGUUUCUAGGAUCACCGUAAUGAUUAAUAGGGAUAGUUGGGGGCAUUAGUAUUCAAUUGUCAGAGGUGAAAUUCUUGGAUUUAUUGAAGACUAACUACUGCGAAAGCAUUCGCCAAGGAUGUUUUCAUUAAUCAAGAACGAAAGUUAGGGGAUCGAAGACGAUCAGAUACCGUCGUAGUCUUAACCAUAAACUAUGCCGACUAGGGAUCGGACGAAGUUAAUUUUAUAAUGACGCGUUCGGCACCUUACGGGAAA